UAACACGUGGGAAUCUGCCCAAAAGUGGGGAACAACUCCUCGAAAGAGGAGCUAAUACCGCAUAAGCUGUGUCGCAAGGUACAGUAAAGCUUCGCAAGGAGCGCUUUUGGAGGAGCCUGCGGCUGAUUAGUUAGUUGGUGGGGUAAAGGCUUACCAAGACUGUGAUCAGUAGCUGGUCUGAGAGGAUGGACAGCCACACUGGGACCGAGAUACGGCCCAG
rnacentral:rRNA from 1 species